rnacentral:rRNA from 1 species
UGGGGAAUUUUGGACAAUGGGGGAAACCCUGAUCCAGCCAUCCCGCGUGUGCGAUGAAGGCCUUCGGGUUGUAAAGCACCUUUGGCAGGAAAGAAACGUCAUGGGUUAAUACCCCGUGAAACUGACGGUACCUGCAGAAUAAGCACCGGCUAACUACGUGCCAGCAGCCGCGGUAAUACGUAGGGUGCAAGCGUUAAUCGGAAUUACUGGGCGUAAAGCGUGCGCAGGCGGUUCGGAAAGAAAGAUGUGAAAUCCCAGAGCUCAACUUUGGAACUGCAUUUUUAACUACCGGGCUAGAGUGUGUCAGAGGGAGGUGGAAUUCCGCGUGUAGCAGUGAAAUGCGUAGAUAUGCGGAGGAACACCGAUGGCGAAGGCAGCCUCCUGGGAUAACACUGACGCUCAUGCACGAAAGCGUGGGGAGCAAACAGG